ACGGAGACUACCAUGCAGUCGAGCGGUAACAGAUCCAGCUUGCUGGAUGCUGACGAGCGGCGGACGGGUGAGUAAUGCAUAGGAAUCUGCCCGAUAGUGGGGGAUAACCUGGGGAAACCCAGGCUAAUACCGCAUACGUCCUACGGGAGAAAGGGGGCUCCGGCUCCCGCUAUGGGAUGAGCCUAUGUCGGAUUAGCUAGUUGGUGAGGUAACGGCUCACCAAGGCCACGAUCCGUAGCUGGUCUGAGAGGAUGAUCAGCCACAUCGGGACUGAGACACGGCCCGAACUCCUACGGGAGGCAGCAGUGGGGAAUAUUGGACAAUGGGGGAAACCCUGAUCCAGCCAUGCCGCGUGUGUGAAGAAGGCCCUCGGGUUGUAAAGCACUUUCAGCGAGGAAGAACGCCUAGCGGUUAAUACCCGCUAGGAAAGACAUCACUCGCAGAAGAAGCACCGGCUAACUCCGUGCCAGCAGCCGCGGUAAUACGGAGGGUGCAAGCGUUAAUCGGAAUUACUGGGCGUAAAGCGCGCGUAGGUGGCUUGAUAAGCCGGUUGUGAAAGCCCCGGGCUCAACCUGGGAACGGCAUCCGGAACUGUCAAGCUAGAGUGCAGGAGAGGAAGGUAGAAUUCCCGGUGUAGCGGUGAAAUGCGUAGAGAUCGGGAGGAAUACCAGUGGCGAAGGCGGCCUUCUGGACUGACACUGACACUGAGGUGCGAAAGCGUGGGUAGCAAACAGGAUUAGAUACCCUGGUAGUCCACGCCGUAAACGAUGUCGACCAGCCGUUGGGUGCCUAGCGCACUUUGUGGCGAAGUUAACGCGAUAAGUCGACCGCCUGGGGAGUACGGCCGCAAGGUUAAAACUCACAUGAAUUGACGGGGGCCCGCACAAGCGGUGGAGCAUGUGGUUUAAUUCGAUGCAACGCGAAGAACCUUACCUACUCUUGACAUCCUGCGAAUUUGGUAGAGAUACCUUUAGUGCCUUCUGGAACGCAGAGACAGGUGCUGCAUGGCUGUCGUCAGCUCGUGU
rnacentral:rRNA from 1 species